rnacentral:tRNA from 1 species
UAGGUGCCGGGGCUUCUCCCGUUUUUUACCCCACAACGGGAGAAGC